CCAACGGCUCUUUUAAGAGCCACCAACCUACUCCGGGGAAAGAGCU
rfam:Felis catus isolate Cinnamon breed Abyssinian chromosome B2, whole genome shotgun sequence.